GAUAGUGCCAUGGAUGGUUUUCCAGCUCUAGAACUAGUGGCUCCCACGCCAGCACAUUUACCAGGGAAGGGAUUCUGAAGACAAUAAUUCUUGGAGUGCCCAAAAACAAAACACCUCUUUUCUGUGGCGCGCACGCUCUGUAGUUACUCGAUGCCUGUUAUUUUCAUUGAUUGUCGUUUCGUCGUCUUCUUCAGAGAUCGGUUCGUUUUGCCAAUCCGGUUUUCUCGGGCAAUAUAUUUUAAUGACUUCAAGGCCAAGGUCAAGGUCUUUUGUUUCUGCUUUCUAAGAUAAUUUUCUGUGGAAUUUUCGUAACGUAAGCACACGGGGAUGAGUGAAGUUCAGGUUGGCCGUGUCGUUUGCGAUGGAGGAUAUGGCAUGCACUUAAGGAUAUACCAAAAGGCUUUGCAAAAUAUGAUAGAUGCAGAAAUUCUGUCAUAAGUAUAUUUAAGUUGUACAUGAAGAAUGUAGCUGUCACUUACUCUUAAUCUUAGCUGUAAAGCAUGUCAUGGUUUUGGGUUUUUGUUGUUUAAUGUAAAUGCGGGAAACGAAACAACAGGUCCUUUCCCUAAUAACUUUAUUGGUUUUAUCAGAUCAGCAUAACAAAUGUAAGUAAAAAGUAUUUUCGAUAUA